rnacentral:rRNA from 1 species
GGCCCGGGAUAGCCCAGGGAAACCUGGAUUAAUACCGGAUGAGACGGGACCCGCGACGGCGGGACCCGGGAAAGGCGCUGCGGCGCCGCCGGGGGAUGAGUCUGCCGUCCCAUUAGCUAGACGGCGGGGUAAGGCCCACCGUGGCGACGAUGGGUAGCCGGCCUGAGAGGGUGGACGGCCACAUUGGAACUGAGACACGGUCCAGACUCCUACGGGAGGCAGCAGCUAAGAAUCUUCCGCAAUGGGCGAAAGCCUGACGGAGCGAACCGCCGCGUGAACGAAGAAGGCCGUGAGGUUGUAAAGUUCUUUCGGGAGGGGAACAACCGUGGCAGGGAAUGGCCGCGGGAUGACGUGAAUCCCGGAAUAACGCCCCCGGCUAACUACGUGCCAGCAGCUGC